CCCCUCUCAGGUUUGCACCUGGAGAGUUCCUAGUACUCUGCCAGUCUCAACUACAGGAGGGAGAAUGAAACAGAGGCAUAUCCAUUCCAUUCCUAGCUUGGCCAGUGGCUAGUGAGUGGAAGGCAAUCUGCUACACAU
rfam:Ornithorhynchus anatinus chromosome X1, whole genome shotgun sequence.